AAUAUUAAACUGUCAAGUCAGAGAAGAAUAUAAAUAUUACACAAUUUGUGCGAUAAUUUUCUAAUUUAACAAUUAAAGUGCAUGUGAUUUGUUGUUUAUAAUGGCGACGCAGGAGAAUACUCCUCCCCGCGACUGUCUGUCUUGCAGAAUCGUAGGGGGUGUCGGUUUGGUAGGGAUUGGAGGUUAUCUUGCAAAUAGCGCCUGCAAACACAAAACUUUACCUGGAAAAUACGGAUUGUCUGUACUGUCUUUUGCGUUCAUCUGUUUGGGAGUAGCGAGAUACAAGCAAACAUUUCCGUUCAAUAAAAAUGCAGAAUUCAAGACAAGAGCGUGAUUGUGUACACAUUGUUAAUUUGUACCCUAAGUUGUACUGUGUAAGUUGUAAAAUACUGUAAAUUUAAAUCAAGUUUGUUAUGUUAUAGUUAGAAUAAAUUAAAUCUUUGGUUAU